CCUAAAUGGCGGGAGGCAAGCCACCUGGCUUCUUUUGCGUUUUCUACCACGUUAUGUUUUGUGUCUUCGUUUUGACCCUUUUCGGAGAAGGCAAUGGCACCCCACUCCAGUACUCUUGCCUGGAAAAUCCCAUGGACGGAGGAGCCUGUUAGACUGCAGUCCAUGGGGUCGCUAGGAGUCGGACACGACUGUAUAACUUUCAAGUAGACAACCUGAGCGACAUCACUUUCACUUUUCACUUUCAUGCAUUGGAGAAGGAAAUGGCAAGCCACUCCAGUGUUCUUGCCUGGAGAAUCCCAGGGACGGGGGAGCCUGGUGGGCUGCCGUCUCUGGGGUCACACAGAGUCGGACACGACUGAAGCGACUUAGCAACUUAGCAGUUUGACCCUUUUACGUGGCCUCAGUUUACUUGGCUUAAAUUCUCUGAGUCUUGAUUUCCUCAUCUUUAAAAUGAGGGGCCUGGCUACAGUCUCGGACAUUCCAUCCUUCACGUGUCCACAUCUUCCUGACGGCAGACAUGGCAGGACCAGUCAUUUUCCCUGGGGCUGAAUCUAUUAGAUCUACACAGGAGAGCAUUGAGAGAGCUAAUUGGAAAGAUUGCUAAGCUUGCUGCAAGAAGCCAGAGAGGGGCAUUUUAUUUCUCACUUGGAUGCUUGCUGAGCCGCAGAACACCAGAGUACCCUGACUGCCUCUGGACUUGAGUGCAUGAAGCAAGCAUCCGUGUCUGGGAGACCCAGUGAAAAUGAACUUUAGGGCAACUACUGGCUGUCAGCAGGCAAGAAACGGAGGCCCCCAGUCCAGCAGGACAGAGAUCGCUGACUCCUGCUAGCAAGCAUAUGAAGCUGGGAGCAGAUCCCUCUCCAGUUGAGCUUUCAGAUGAGAUGCUGGAAACCUCGAUUGAAGCUUCAUGAGAGACCCCGAAGCAGAGGACCUGGUGAGCUAUACCCAGGUUGUGCGAGAUGGUACAUGUGUGUUGUUGUUAGCCACUAAAUGUGUGCUAAUUUGUUAUACACAAUAGGUAACGAAUAUGCAGUUUUGUGGUUUUGCUUACAUCACUCCCCUCUUCACAGGACUGCAGUAUAAGUCCCUGGAGAUUGUUCUCAGAAAUAAAUAUAACUGACAAUCACCACUCUGUGCUCAGAAUUGUCCUUCUCCUUCCACCAAAGGUCUGUUACCUGAUCAGCUUUGUUGUGCUUGAUUUCUCUGGGAAAAGUUCUCUCUCAGGUGACCUUAGCUCCUCACACAAAGGGAGCUUUGUGGGGCCUGCCUAUGUGGUUCCCCAGAUAAGCCUGAAUACUCUUAAAUCCAGCAAUGGUGCAGCUUGGCCUAAAGCUAAGAGCUCACAAUAUGUCAGAUAAUUUGUCAAUUUCCAGAUGCAUUAUACCAAGGGUCCCCAACUCCCCCAGGGCCACAGAUCAGUACUUCAGAGCAGUGAGCAGUGGGUGAGCAAGAGAAGUUUCA
ensembl:lncRNA